rnacentral:rRNA from 1 species
GAUUUCUGGACACGAUUCGUCUCUGGCCGGCCGUGGUUUCACGUGUCUAGUGCUGGAGACUCUGUCCAUCCUUCCAAUGGCUCCGGCGUCGCUCUUCAUUGAGUGUGCGCUGCGAGUCUUGGAUCUUUUACUUUGAAAAAAUUAGAGUGUUUAAAGCAGGCGUUUGCUAUGAAUACAUUAGCAUGGAAUAAUAAUCUAGGACUUCGGUUCUAUUUUGUUGGUUUCUAUAACUGAAGUAAUGAUUGAUAGGGACAGUUGGGGGUGCUAGUAUUGGCCGGUCAGAGGUGAAAUUCUUGGAUUCGGUCAAGACUAACUUAUGCGAAAGCAUU